CACGUAGGGGGCGAGCGUUGUCCGGAUUUAUUGGGCGUAAAGAGCUCGUAGGCGGUUUCGUAAGUCGGAUGUGAAAACUCCAGGCUCAACUUGGAGACGCCAUUCGAUACUGCGAUGACUUGAGUCCGGUAGGGGAGUGUGGAAUUCCUGGUGUAGCGGUGAAAUGCGCAGAUAUCAGGAGGAACACCGGUGGCGAAGGCGGAUCUCUGGGCCUGUUCUGACGCUGAGGCGCGAAAGCUAGGGGAGCGAACAGG
rnacentral:rRNA from 1 species